rnacentral:rRNA from 1 species
UUUGAUGGCGACCGGCGCACGGGUGAGUAACACGUAUCCAACCUGCCGAUGACUCGGGGAUAGCCUUUCGAAAGAAAGAUUAAUACCCGAUGGCAUAGUUCUUCCGCAUGGUAGAACUAUUAAAGAAUUUCGGUCAUCGAUGGGGAUGCGUUCCAUUAAGUUGUUGGCGGGGUAACGGCCCACCAAGCCUUCGAUGGAUAGGGGUUCUGAGAGGAAGGUCCCCCACAUUGGAACUGAGACACGGUCCAA